rnacentral:misc_RNA from 1 species
CCUCACGCUGAGAUUGGCGCGAACCGAUUGAUCACUGGCGCUGGGGGCGAACUGGCCGCUGUAGGAUAUGCCGAGGGUCGCGGCGGGGGUAAGGGUGAGAUCAAGCCCAGUCUCGAUGAUUGCGGCAUCUCUUGCGNNNCGUGAAGGGGUUGCCAGCGGAGAAGGCUUGCAUUGACAGAGGCGUGGUGUCGCCGAAGGCG